rnacentral:lncRNA from 1 species
AAGAAGCGGUCCUUACCUCUCUCUUACACGCCUUUGAGCCCCAACCCAUUCCUACAGCGAAAAGGAAACAACUUGGAAGUUAAAAGGCUUCCCACUCUCCAAAGGAUGUCAAGGUUCCUUCCUUAUAUAUAGUUUUUCUUGAAAUUGCUCCUCGUCAAAUACCUAAACACAGCAAGAAAAGCAAACUAGAAUCUUCCUCUCUAGCUUUCAAACGGUCUUCUACUACUUUAGAUUUGGGGCGAUCAAGAUUUUCUUGAAGAGACCAUGAAUUCUAUGUUCAGUUCUUUUGAUGCUUUGUGUGCUGAGUUGUUGGGUCAAAAAGUGAGGUCUUCACUCGCUCUUACAACCAUGGAUUGCAAUACCAAGAGGGUUUUGACUGCUGGUGAUAAUAGUAUGGUGGCAGAAGAUAAGUUGAUCAAGAAUCGAGAGGGAAGCUCCUCGAGAUCGUUGGCUAGGAAACAAGAGAAGAAGGUGCCGAGGUUUGCACCAGAGCUUGAUGGACUCAACUGCUUCGAGACCAUUGUUAACUAUUGAGAUUCGAUGACAUGACGCAAUGAAGUUGUGUUUUUAAUUAUUUAUAGGGAUAUGUAGAGAAAGAAAAAGCUAGGAAUUAUUCUUUGAUCGAUCUAUCUGGAGUGAUGAUGGUAAUGUUAAAAUGUAAUUCUAAUAUACUUUUAUAUGACUAGAAUAUUCUUUUUGUUCAUCUUCUUGAAAUAAUUUUAAGUUUUUAUUAAUUGAUGGAUUAAAUUCUCAAAACCACACUCAAAGCUAUGGUGUUUCGGGGGGUGCUAGGUAAUCAUGGCAAUCAUGUCAUUCGGCUACUUUUAUCAGAGCCAAGAUCCCCUGUAUAUUUCAGCUCUAAUCUCCCUGUUUCUGUACUUUAAACCCUCAUUAAGAGAACAAUUAUAAGCAUAACACUUAGCAUGGCGGUCAAUCUAAAUUCAGAUUAACAACUUAAUCCUAGGCUUAAGGAUCUCCUCUGGUCAACAACUAGCAAACCACCCAGGCUCUAACUUGCUACCUAUUCUCCAUGAUAUCAGUCUGGUGAAUACAUGGCGAUGCACAGCUGGUGCCAAAACCAUAGAGAGAUCAUCCCAAUUUAGGCCGAGUGGAUCGUCAGCCCACGUAUAUCUGUGUUUUUCUUUCUUGCUUUGAUAUCAAUCCACACAGUAACUUCAGCUAUGGCAUCACAAAUCAACACAAUGCAUAGAUAUAAGCGCCGACCUGAUUCAAGUCCAGCUUGCGAGUUUGGUGAAUUCACUUAGUUGAAUUCAAUCUUUGAUUUUUUUUUAAAUCCUAAAAUAAUGUUUUAAUAAAAAAAAUGAGUUUUUUUCACUCAUUUCACUUGAGGUUAGCCCUAGUUCGGUGGAUCAACGAGUCUUGUAACAGUGACAUAAUAUCUUCCUUAGAAGGGUAAAUCAACAUAACAAGAAAAUUUAGGAUAUACUCUUCUUUUUUUCUUACAAAAUUUAGUGUGUACUUGCUAAUAGGAGUUAGGGCACAUAACUUUCACUGUGGAGUUUCAUUCAAUGAAAUUUCCGAAGGAGUGCAGGAGAAGACAACUUUUUUCUCCUGACUGUCUAAUAUCUAAUCCCAUUCUUUUGUCACUCACUGAGUUUUUGUUACAAAUACUCGACAAUUGAUCUAUAGCUUUUUGUGACACAAUGUCGUCUGCUAGCAAGAAGAACGAGCAUAAUGGUGAUAAUAUGCCAUCAACAAUGUCAAGGGCCAAUAACAAUAAAGAGCACCCUUCAUGGAUGGACUAUCCAUCUUUGAAACGAUGGCUCUUCGAAUGAUUUCUAUUAGAGUGGCUUGAACAUUGUUUUAGUCUCACUAAUUGUUUUUGUUUUUUCCUUUCGAUCUGGAAUUUUCGUUGUUUUUGAAUUGUGUAAUCUUCAAAUUGGGGAUUGAAGCUAUGUAUAUUUGAGUUUUUGUUUUUUUUUCUUAAUUCUUGUUGGUAGAUCAAUAAUAAUUUUUCUUUACUCAUCAAGGUUCGCAGAUUGUUUUAUUACCCCGUUACUCCUUAUCAUACUUAUUAAACUUUGGCUGACUUGGCAGGUCAAUUUAGAGAGCUGAUGAUGAGGAACCUGAUCUGAAUGGAUUUUGAUUGAAAUCAUUUUGAAUAUUGACCUGAUUAAAUCUAAUUGAUUUAAAAAAAAUGAUUCAUGAUCUGAUUGGUCCAAUCAAAUUAGUCAAGUCAACUUCAAAGAAUAUUUUUAUUAAAAAAUUGGAACGUUGUUCUUUUAAAAAAAAAAAAAACCUGGUUAACCAGGUGAUCCAUAUGUUGACCCAAUAAUUUAGUGAUACGAGUUCUAAAACUAUGCUCCUCACUAGGUAGGCCUUAUUAUUAUUAUUGUGUACCUACUAAAGUCUUAGAAUUUUAGUUGUGGGUCAAGAAAAGGGUUCAAAAUCCUAUUACAAAAACAAAAAUACUAAAAGAGCUAUGCUCCUCACUAGGUAGGCUUUUUAUUGAGCACACACUCACAAUUUACUAUGGAUUUCUAAAGUAAAGUUACCAUUUUGCCCUUGGUGGUUUAAGUUUUAUAGUUUGCUUGCAAGGAUAGCAUUGCAUUUUUAAUGAGACAGAUUUGUUAUUACAAGAUUCAUUGGGGUAAAUGAGUCUUUUACUAUUAGAUUUAUGCAGUGUAAUAUCUAAAAUACCUUUAAAAGUUGAAUUUCCUUAACAAUAAGACCUGGGGUGUAUUUUAUUUUUCAUUCUUUUUUUGCAUUGUAUAGUCACUAACAUACCCUUAGAGUCAAAUAAUCUAUAGCUAAGCUUUAGGGAUGUUUUGGUGUUUUUAUCAUAUUUUUUUUCAUUAAUAUUGUGUGGGUAAAGGGCAAUUUAGUAUUUGCAUAAAUAAAAUUAAAAAAAAAAGUUGUUGGCAUGUGUCUUGAACGGGCAAACAAUUGGGAGGUGCUUGGGCCCUUUAGGCGGUGCCUGCGACACCUCCCAGUGGUCGAACAUCACAUUACAGGAGGACUUUCAAUGCAUCUCGCCGCCCCUAUCAUGGUGGACCAACGCAUGUCUCUGCCCAACGCCCGGUGGAGCUCCAACAAUGUAUUUCCCCCCCCCCCCUCUUUUCCCUCUCUUUAACCUUGAAACAUAUGCAGCCACUGCAAAAAAUUAGAAAGGGUGUGUGAUUUGUUAAGUUAAUCACAUUUGGUUGUUUGUUUGCUUGUAUCAAGUUUUAUUUAUUUUAUUUUCAAUUUGAUUCUUUGUGAUUUGAUUUUUCUAUUGAAUUUGUCAUAUUAUUUUAUGUGUUUUAGGUUUGAAUCUUGAUGUUUUGAUUUCUAAUUUUGAUUCUAGGCUCUUUUAUCAAAUUUUAAUUUCUUUUCAAUUUCAUCCUUGGAUCCAUGAUUUUAUUUUAAAAAUUUAUUUUUUUUUUCAAUUUUUGCCCUUCAAUUCAAAUUUUUUGUUUAUCCUCUCAAUUUACGUUUUCAAAUGAGGUCCUUAAUUAUUCUCAUGAUUGUUUCUAUGCCCUACCCGGGAGUCAAUUUCAGGUCACGCGUCGAGUGGGUUGACUUGAGUUAACUCAAGUCAAUGAAAUAUUUUUUUUUUAAUAAGAAAGUCAAAAUAAUACUAUUUUGGAAAAAAAAAAGAAGAAAGAUAGUUAAUUGGUUUUGACUGGAUUUUUCCUGGGUUAACCGAAGCAUAGGUCAACCCGGUCUUAUAUUACAUCAAUUCUCCUUCAAUUUCUUUUGAAACUCGGGUCGGUCUAAGCCAAGGGUCACUUGGGUUGUCAUAACUCAUUUAUGGGUUAUUUCCCAAAAUUAUCUUCUUCCUUUCCAAAAUAAAAAAUCAAAAAAUAAAAUAAAGAUUGAUAUUUUAGAAAAAGCAAACUAGGAGGACUUCAAAUAUAUAAAAAAUCAAGUUGCAAUUUUAGAUGAAAUUGAGACUCUAAUUGUACCCCAUUUUACCCAAAACAGGAGAGACAAUGCAGAUUCAAAGUCAAAAUAAAUCAUAAUUGGACAAAUCUGAAUAAAAAUUAAGUAUAAGGACAUAAUUAGAUUUUUAAUAGGCCAAUUUGAUUUAAUUAUGGGCAAAAUUAAAGUUUAAUUAUAUUUAAGAAUUAAUUUGGGCCAAUUGAAGGAUUUAAUUAGAUAUAAGGAUUUAAUUAUACUUUAAAUGGGUUAAAUUAAUUUUAUUACGGGCUUAAUUGGUAAAAAAAUUAAGUUUGGGAGCCAAAUUUGAACUUAAUAGAGAAGAUUGAAAUUUAAAAAAAAUCAAAUUUAAUUUUUAUCAAGUCAACUAAUUCAAAUCAGGGGUUAAAUUACAGUUACACUUUCUUCAUAUAUGAUACUAUUUUUUUUUCAGUGGAAGUUAAUUUAAUCUUAUUCUUAAUUCUCUAAAUUCUUGCAACCCACCAACCGAGCUGAUUUAUGCCAUCAUUUGUCCUAGAUCAUUUAAACUUUCCAUAAACCAAACAAAGGAUAUCUUGGACCGACAAUCGACCAACAAACAUGAUUUGCUAAGGAUUUAGGAAAACAAAUAAUUUCAAUAAAGAAAAGUUGUCUCGCGAACACUAAAAGCUGUUAAUAGAAAAAAUGAUAAUGUUUAAAGAUGUCGAUUCUAAAACACUACAGUUUUGACAUAGAUAUUUCAAGACGUCAUGAGUGCAAAUUUGUUAAUAUGAUAAUAUAAAAUCAAUAUAUUAAUUAUCAUAUCAAUAAAUAUGUGAACAUAAUUAUUGAUAAGUAUCACGUGCAUACGAAUAAAAUAUAAAUUUACCGAACUCUACCCAGCAUCAUUAUUGGUGAAUUAAGGUGUAUUCUAGGUCUAGGACUGGCCGGUAUUAGAAAAGAAUAGAGAGAAUUAUUAUUUUUUUAAUCCAGAAAAAAACUUGGGUUAACCGAUUAAUUAAAACAAAAUAUAAAAAUCUAAUUAAAAUUCAUUGAUUUCUCUUUCUUUUUUUUAAGUAUUUUUCAAAAUAAUAUCAAUAUAUUUUUUCUUACAAAAUAAAAAAUAAAUUGACUGAAAUUAACUCAUGUAAACCCAUCUAACUUAUUAUCUUAGAUUUACCCCGCGUCAAUCAUGGUAGGAUUUAAAAACUAUGGUAAUUUGUCAGCAAUGAUCGAUGUCCUAAGAACAACAACAAUAAUAUAAUGAACAAACUAAUACUCGACCAAUAAAAGUGGCAGAGCAUAUUUUCAUCUUUUAUAUUUUCCAAGUCAAAAAGAUAAUUUGAGAAUUGAGAUUUGAGCUUAGCAUCUCCACUUCCCAAGCAAGUAAACAUGCUUUGACAAGACACGCGCCUUUGAUCGUGGAACAUGGUCAGUUGGUCUCCCCUAGCAGGCUAGCAGCUACCCCACAAGAAGCGGUCCUUACCGCCUUUGAGCCCCAGCCCAUUCCUACAGCGAAAAGGAAACAACUUGGAAGUUAAAAGGCUUCCCACUCUCCAAAGGAUGUCAGGUUCCUUCCUUAUAUAUAGUUUUUCUUGAAAUUGCUCCUCGUCAAAUACCUAAACACAGCAAGAAAAGCAAACUAGAAUCUUCCUCUCUAGCUUUCAAAGGGUCUUCUACUACUUUAGAUUUGGGGCGAUCAAGAUUUUCUUGAAGAGACCAUGAAUUCUAUGUUCAGUUCUUUUGAUGCUUUGUGUGCUGAGUUGUUGGGUCAAAAAGUGAGGUCUUCACUUGCUCUUACAACCAUGGAUUGCAAUACCAAGAGGGUUUUGACUGCUGGUGAUAAUAGUAUGGUGGCAGAAGAUAAGUUGAUCAAGAAUCGAGAGGGAAGCUCCUCGAGAUCGUUGGCUAGGAAACAAGAGAAGAAGGUGCCGAGGUUUGCACCAGAGCUUGAUGGACUCAACUGCUUCGAGACCAUUGUUAACUAUUGAGAUUCGAUGACAUGACGCAAUGAAGUUGUGUUUUUAUUUAUAGGGAUAUGUAGAGAAAGAAAAAGCUAGGAAUUAUUCUUUGAUCGAUCUAUCUGGAGUGAUGAUGGUAAUGUUAAAAUGUAAUUCUAAUAUACUAUUAUAUGAAUAUAUUCUUUUUGUUCAUCUUCUUGAAA